rnacentral:rRNA from 1 species
AGUCGMGCGCNUGAAGCCGUCUGAACCCUUCGGGGGGACGACGGUGGAAUGAGCGGCGGACGGGUGAGUAACACGUAAAGAACCUGCCCAUAGGUCUGGGAUAACCACGAGAAAUCGGGGCUAAUACCGGAUGUGUCAUCGGACCGCAUGGUCCGCUGAUGAAAGGCGCUCCGGCGUCGCCCAUGGAUGGCUUUGCGGUGCAUUAGCUAGUUGGUGGGGUAACGGCCCACCAAGGCGACGAUGCAUAGCCGACCUGAGAGGGUGAUCGGCCACACUGGGACUGAGACACGGCCCAGACUCCUACGGGAGGCAGCAGUAGGGAAUCUUCCACAAUGGACGAAAGUCUGAUGGAGCAACGCCGCGUGAACGAUGAAGGCUUUCGGGUCGUA